AGAAUCAACGCUGGCGGCGUGCCUAACACAUGCAAGUCGAACGAGAAAGGGUAGCAAUACCUGAGUAAAGUGGCGCACGGGUGAGUAACACGUGACUAACCUACCCUGGAGUGGGGGAUAACUGAGGGAAACCUUAGCUAAUACCGCAUAAUACCUACGGGUCAAAGGAGCAAUUCGCUUCAGGAGGGGUCGCGGCCGAUUAGUUAGUUGGCGGGGUAAUGGCCCACCAAGACGAUGAUCGGUAU
rnacentral:rRNA from 1 species